ACCUAAUCCACCACAGCAGAAAGACUGCUGAUGGGAAACUGAACAAGACAGCUACACUGUCCCUUUCAUAGCAUCACCACUUUAGGAGGCUGAGACCGGAAACUGCAUUCAAACACCUAAGCAUGAAGCAGCAACAGAACAGACGUGCUUGUGUGCGUCCUUUUUCAACUAAAAUCCCUGUGUUGCAGUACAGCGUGCAGAGUUUUGGAUUCCAGAUCACACCAGCCCCAUUGUAACUGAAAGCCAUGGGUUCUGUGGGAAACAAUGGCAACUGAAAGGGACAACUUGCACCAGCGUGCAGAAUUGUGUUAUCUCCCAGUCAUGUGGAAAAGAGUUGUGUCACCACUGUGCAACAGGAUAGUUGAAAACCAGGAGUCUCUUGGUCAAUGCCAAUAUGUGGCAGGAGAGCCUUCCACAUUCUAAUAGAAAAGUCCAUAAGGAAGCUGUGAACAGGAUCAGUCCAGAGGAGUAAAACUCUAUAUCUGUCCAAACAUCAGUCUAUGUACUGUGAUAGCCAACGAAAGCCUUCGCCAUAGCCUUGUCUCUUCAACACGCUGCACAUGAACACUUCCAUGGGGCGUGUGUUCAGGUCCUUCAGUGGCACAUUUCCCUGGGAAUCAAGAAAAUAGGAAGAAGUCAGAAUUGCAACAAGCACCGAGUAUGUAGGUCCAAGGAGGUGCAGUUUUUUUAUCCUUACAAAUGGUAACCCAGAAGUCAAAUGCUGGACUAGCAAGAUUUUCCUACUGAAAUUUCACUUACCAGUCUUACAGAGAUCUCUUUAGUUUUAUUUUACAGUCUUCUUUAUACAGCCUUUUAAAGUUAGUUGUCCAUAACUGCAUCUCAACAGCUGCUCCUACAGACCUAACAGCCAGACUACAGUGAAGCAAGAGACUUAGAUAGGCAGUUGAACAAUAGGACAUUGGAAGCAGAGAACUCAAAUUCUGUUUUGAAGUGAGACCAUCUGGGCAACUAUUUUGAUAUAGCAGUUGUACAAAUUAAUGAACUUUAAAAUUGAAAUAUAAGAUGCAUAGCAUGUAGAAACUCUA